CGCCAGACUCCUACGGGAGGCAGCAGUGGGGAAUCUGCCGCAAUGGGCGAAAGCCUGACGGAGCAACGCCGCGUGAUCGAAUGAAGGCCUUCGGGUUGCAAAGAUCUGUUGACAGGGACGAAUAAGCAAUGCGAAUAGUUUUGUGUAUGACGGUACCUGUUUAGAAAGCUCCGGCUAACUCCGUGCCAGCAGCCGCGGUAAUACGGAGGAUGCGAGCGUUAUCCGGAUUUAUUGGGUUUAAAGGGUGCGUAGGGGGGCUGUUAAGCCGGCGGUCAAAUGUCGGGGCUCACCCCCGGCCUGCCGUUGAAACUGGCGGCCUCGAGUGGGCGAGAAGUAUGCGGAAUGCGUGGUGUAGCGGUGAAAUGCAUAGAUAUCACGCAGAACUCCGAUUGCGAAGGCAGCAUACCGGCGCCCGACUGACGCUGAGGCACGAAAGCGUGGGUAUCGAACAGGAUUAGAUACCCCGGUAGA
rnacentral:rRNA from 1 species